CUAUGACGUCAGGACCGGAAACUACGUAGUUCAGUUCUCCACACGCGCACGCCUUAGCAGGGAUGGCGUCCCUUUAACAGUGUGUAGUUUUAACUGUAUCAAAAAGCUGUUUUCUUCAUUAAAACCAUGUCGGAGUUAAAAAUAAACUCCCAGUUCGCUCAGAAAUACGAGAAAUACCGACAGAAGGAAGAACUACAGAGACUGAAGGACAAAUACGGAGACCGAGGAGAUGAGACUGAGUCGUCUGAGUCCAGCUCUGAUGACAGUGAAGUGGAGCUGGACCCUGAAACUGAGAGGGAUUUUUACAGGACAUUGUCACUGCUGAAGAAGAAAGACCCAAAGAUCUAUCAGACAGAUGCUAAGUUCUUCUCAGAAGGUGCAUCCAUCAGUGAUGAGAAGCCGUCAACCUCGAAGACAGCAGUGAAGCCCAUGUACCUGAAGGACUAUGAACGUAAAGUGAUACUGGAGAGGGAGGGUAAAUACGAGGAUGACGAUGACAGUGAUGACGAGGAAGCCGUCAGGAGAAUAGAGAGAGCUGCCUCUCCGAGCUACAUUCAAGAGCAGCGGGAGCUGAAGGAAAGCUUCCGUAAGUUUGUCCAGGACAGCGAUGAAGACGAUGGCGACGGCGGUGAGGGAGAAGGAGUGUCUGAGCUGCUGACCAGGAGGGUGAAGACACAGGAAGAGAAGGAUAAAGAGGAGGCGGACUAUGUGGAGUGGCUGAAAGGCCAGGCUGACCUCGAGGGUCCGGAGGAGGUGAAGGACAUGAAAUAUUUAAGGGACUACUGGAACGACCCGGAGCUGGAUGAGAAGGAGUGUUUCCUGAGAGACUACGUCCUCAACAAGGGCUACCUCGAUGAGGACGACGAUGACGACCGGAUCCCAACCUACGAUGAGGUGGUCCAGGAUGACGUGGAGGAUUCUGAAGAGGAAGGGGAGACUUUCUUGGAGAGGCAGGAGGACUUUGAGAGAAGCUACAACUUCCGCUUUGAAGAGCCUGACGCUCAGCAGAUCAAGACGUAUCCCCGUAACAUCGCCACGUCUGUACGCUCCAAAGACGACCGCAGGAAACGCAAAAGGGAGGAAGUGAAAGAAAGGAAGCAAAAGGAGAAAGAGCAGAAGCAAGAGCAGCUGAAGCAGCUCAAGAACUUGAAGAGAGGCGAGAUCAUGGAGAAGCUGAAGACGCUUCAGGAGCUGACCGGCAACGAGCAGCUCGCCUUCAGCCAGACUGACCUGGACGGAGAAUUUGAUCCACAAAAACACGACCAGCUCAUGCAGAAAUUCUUUGGAGAUGAAUAUUAUGGAGAAGAAGAAGAGGAGAAACCUCAGUUUGAGGAUGAUGAUGAAUUUGAGGAGCACUGGAACUGGGACACGUGGACAGGAGAGGAUCGAGACGAGGACUAUGGUGAAGAGGAGUAUGAAGAAGAGGAGAAUGACGCCUCUGGGCCCCACUGUGAUGAUGAAAACUUCAUUAUGGAUGCAGACUACGACCCGACCCAGCACGCCGCCUCCAAGAAGAAGAAGAUAAAAGAGAGGAAGAAGAUGAAGAAAGAGGAUCUGCCGCAAAUGGGCAAAAGGAGAAAAAAGUCUCACUUUGCUGAAGUCAUCACCAAACACAAGCCUGUGUUUGAUCCACAGGAGAAAUCCUUCGAGCAGUACCUGGAUGAAUACUACAAGCUGGACUACGAGGACAUCAUCGACGACCUCCCCUGCAGGUUCCGCUACAGGCAGGUCCUCGCCAAUGACUUCGGCCUGACCACUGAUGAGAUUUUAACGGCUGAUGACAAGGAGCUGAACCAUUGGUGCUCUCUGAAGAAGACGUGCAUGUUCAGGUCUGAGAAGGAAGAGAUGAGUGAUUUGAAGAACUAUAAAAUCAAGGCCAAGAAUGAGAAGAAGAAGAAAGAAGUCUUGAGCUCUGUUUACUCUCAGGAGGACAGAGAGCUGACAGAGGUGAAGACCAAGGUGGGGAAGAAGAGAAGAGAUCGUCUGAAGGAUGCUGAGAAGCGAGAGGCAGCAGAGGAUGGUGACGCCCCCGCCAUCAUGGACUCUGCAGAUGACACGCUCGCCCAGGCUCUCAGAGAGGCAGUGGACGAGGAGGAAGAGGAGGAGGAGAUUCUGGUACCCAAGAACAAGAAGAUGAAACAGGAAGAAGAGCCACAGGAAGAGGAGCCGCAGACAGAGGUGACCGCUGUGGAAGCAGCAGGUAAAGAUGAUGAAAGGACUGAGAGGCCCAAAUGGUCGAAGAAGAAGCACAAGUCCUCCAGUGGACGCCUCAUAUCAGGAAGCAGCGGGGUGAAAAUAGGCGGGCGUGAGUUCAGUCGACAGAGACUGAAGGCGUACGGCCUGAACCCCAAGAGACUGUUCUUCAGACAGCUCGGCCGACAGAGACGAAAAGAACGGGAGAAGAAAGAGAAGCUGAAGAACAAAGAGUGACGACACCUCAGAUUAACUGUCGAUGUACGAUCCUGUGAUUCCUACGGUCCACAAAUUAAACACAUUUUAAAAACAGUCAUUGUUUUGUGACCUCAAAUUUACAGUUUGAUUUGGGAAAAAAAUAGUGUUUAAAAUGAUGGCUACAGAUUUUGAGUUAAUUUGAUAUACCUACAAUUUAGUAUACAAUUAAUUAGAUAAUGGAUUUGGUGAAAUUAACAUUUCUCUUUCUACAUUUGUACUGUGUUUAUAUUUCAUAGAAACUGUAAAGGUCCUGACACACCAAGCCGACAGUCGGCCGUCGACCAAAGUCGGGCUGUCGGUGAGCGUCUGUCGGCCUAGUUGUCGGCGGUGUGUCCCGCACCGUCGGCACUUUGGCGUCGGCAUCAGCGGCUUUUCAGCCGAUUGAGCAUGUUGAAAAGGGCGGCAAAGCUUGUCGGUGAGAGAGAUCACUCUGAUUGGCUGUUGAGGUUUUAUUUCCUCGCCCCUGUAGCGAGUGAAUCUGCCUAUAGUGAAACCGGGGCUAACCGGUGCUUCCUCCUCAGGCUCCACUUCACUCAGCUGCCCCACAGACCCGCUGCUUCUUCCCACUUUAACCUGAAUAACAAACCGGAGCUAGCUGGGAGCGGCUAGCGGAGCGUUAGCCGCAGCAUGACCGGAGGGAAGCACAGCCAGUUAGCCUCCGCUAGCUUCCCAGCUAGCCCCGGCUCUCCGUUUGGAUCCAACCGGAGCACCGAGCCCUGGUUUGUUAUUCAGGUUAAAGUGGGAAGAAGCAGCGGGUUUCACUCUCUCACUCUGCUCUCUCUCAGAACGUACGUGCUACUUGGCCAUCAGAUGUAGUCCGUGUAGUGUGUUCAAAUGCAACUGACACAGGGCGACGUGAGGCGACGUAGACGACGCAACAGUUGGCUUUCGUCGCCGCUAGUUCUUUGAUGCCGGUUUGGUGUGUCCGCACCUUUAGAGAUAGGGGGAGGAGCUCGGACAUCCAGAGGGAGCUCAGUAUAGAGCCGCUACUUCUUCAUGUUGAAAGGGGUCAGUUGAGGUGGUUCGGGCAUCUGAUCAGGAUCCUCCUGGGCGCCUUCUGUUAGAGGUGUUCCAGGCACGUCCCACUGGUAGGAGGCCCCGGGGCAGACCCAGAACACACUGGAGGGAUUACAUAUCUCAUCUGGCCUGGGAACACCUUGGGGUCUCCCAGGAGGAGCUGGAAAGCAUUGCUGAGGAGAGGGACGUCUGGGGUGCUUUGCUUGGCCUGCUGCCCCUGUGACCUGGCUCCAGCAUGUGCUGGGCGAGUCUUUUGGCAUUUCAGUCUUUACCAAGUUACCAACAAAUUUUGGACCUCACAUUAUGUGGCUCUGGACAAAUUUUGGCUUUGAUUAAGACCUGGAUUGAGACCAUUUAAGAAUGGGCGAGGAACAGUAAGCCUGCAAGCCCCCACUGUGCACAGACAUUUUGCAAGGCAGGUGCUCAAGUGGAAAAAAAUGGUUUCUCUUCCACAACUUUUUUUUUCUUUU